CGACGUUGAAAUACCCGUUCCCGUGGGGUCACCGAAGUUAAGCAAUGUCGAGCCUCGUCAGUACCUAGAUGGGUGACCGGUUAGUAAUUCCAGGUGCUGUG